UUAAGGAUAACAUGUCUCUGAUAAGUUAUGCACAGCGACAGAAAAUGCACCUUCAGAGGACAAUUCUACAGGCUUAGCCUUAAAUUUUCAAGGAAGGAUAUUCAGCGCAUCUACCAGGAGAGCUCUUCUACGUUGAACGCCCAAAUCCAGUUUCAAAAUGCAGCCAUUAAAGAGGUAACCAAUGUUGCAUUUUAUGAAUCCUCUGUUUGCAAGGAGCUUGGACAUCCACAGCUUUCUCUACAAACUAGGAUGACAAAUAAAGUAUAUCAUUAGACUAUUACUGUUGUGUUGUUGAUUGUAAAAUCACCAUCCUUAACCCACCGAAAUGACAAUCAACUUAUGAUCACUGAAGAUUGAAGUCCAGCAUUUGAAUUGCUUUGCACUUCAAGUAUAUAUAAGAUCAUAAGCUCGUGUUAUUUAUAGGGUAUUUGUGAGUGUAGCGGUUGUUUUUUAAAGUGUAUUUCAAUUUGAAAUGCAUUAAAAUACUAUUUUUAUUUUUAAAAAAUUAUUUUCAAUAUCAGCACAUCAAAAAAUCCAAAAACAUAAAAAAAAUUAAUAUUUUAGAUACUUUUGAAAUGUAAUUUCAAAUCACCUGUUGUGGGUUGUGUGUGUGUGUGUGUGUAAGGAGUAAUGCUAUGGUUUGUAUUUCAAAUAGAAAAAAAAAAUCCUAGUCAUGAAUUAGCUGUGAAUUACUCAAUACCCUGAUUGCCAUAAACAUAAUAUAUACCACGAGGACAUCAUAUGUUAGCUUUCAAUCAGCAUUGGUGAAUGGAUGGUGGCUCACCAUUAUUCAUGUACAGCCGGUUAUUGUGGGCUACAUUGUGUUAGUAUUUGUACCACUGUUCACUGAGGUAGGAUUGCCGCGGUUUUGAUCCCCAACAACAACUUCGGCUCCUUCAUCGGAAGUCAUUUCAUGCACAUAGGCAGUAUCAGGUGAAGCUCGGUUUCUUUCCGGAGUGUUAGGGGCAACAGUAUUUGCAUUGGAGGCAAUAAAAUUUGUACCACUAUUCCCCGAGGUAAGAUUGUCAUGGUUUUGAUUUUCUCCAACGUCUUCGGCUCCUUCAUUGGAAGUCAUUUCAUGCACGUUGCCAGUCUCAGGCGAGGCUCCAAUAUUUUCAGGGCCUGUGACAGGGUGAACUCUAGAUUCAGUUCGCCUAAGAUGAUGGACGGAGGGAUCUUUCUGGUCAAAACGCUUUGCCACCUCAAGAAUUCUCAGCCACAUGGAUUGUUCUUCAUGCAUUGUGUUUGAAGCAGGAUAAUUUGAGCAAAGGAACCUGAUGAUAUAUAUCAGGAGCGAAGAUAUGGAAGCAACUCCAGAGAUAAGGAAGAGGCCCGCGAAGCUAGACAACCUAAGACCACCUGAAGAGGUUUCAGGUCCUUGGUCUUCACAGGUGAUUUCCCUACCAAAGCUUUUCCUCUUAAUUGCUUCCAUUUUAUCAUGAUCUUCAGUGACAUUCAAGAUUGCUCUCGAGAUAUAAGAGACUAGUGGGGAGUCAAGUGGGAAGGCCUAUAAUGAAAAAAAGAAGAAGAAAAUAGAUCGAGCUGAUUAGAAAGUUUACUCACUGCAUUAAGUUCUGUAAUAGUUAAAUACAUGCUUAACAAUGGCUAAUCACUUUUGCCUUAACUAUAAGUAGCCUGAUAAUCAUGGAGUUCUACUUAAAACCUAACAACUUCAGAAGAGAGAGAGAGAGAGAGAGAGUUACUCACAAAGCCAAAUCCAUCGGUUGGAUAGGUUGGUCCUACCAUUUGAAAUUUAGAGCAGCGGGACUUGUCGUCAAGGAAGCGUUUAACGUAGGGAAUUUCAUCAAAGAUAGCAGCCACACCACCAUUAUGAGACCCUCUAGACAACGCAUCGUGAUACUCCUCUGGAGUGCUAUAUUCCCUCAACAUCGUGUCACUGAAAUUUAAUUCUUUUUUAAGGAAAUCUUUCACAAAAGAAUCUUUCUGGUGUCCAACAAAGUAAUUAUUCCUCCUGAUCUCUGCGACAUCAACAAAUGCGGGAUGCAUCCGCUGUACUGUUAGCAUUGAGGCUAAGCUAGCAGUGUAACUCUGAGAUAUAAUAAGUACCACAAACAUCCAUAUGAUCAAGACAAAUCUUGUCAGGUUGUUCUCUGGCCUCUCCCCUAUUACGGCAAAAAAAAAAUUACAAAAUUAAUGAUUCAUGCUCAUACAUUAGAAUUUCAUUUUAGUUGCGCUUGUAAUCAAUUAUGAAAAGAAAGUAAAGAAGAUAAAAACACGAAAGCUAGAGAAGUUAAUUACUAUGUGCAAAGACCAGUGUUGAGAAGGAGAACCAGAUAACUGUGCCCAGUUGUUGCUCUGGUGUUCCCCUAAACUCUCUGUUUAUACGGUGUUCGAGCACCCAUACCACUAAACCUGUGACAAAGAAGGCUAGUCCAGUUACCAACCAAAGUUUCGGGGUUAGUGGCUUCAAGAAAAUCCACAUGUUAUCCCUCUCAUCGCGUUUCAUCAAAACCACCAUUGUUACGCCUGAUUCCGAGUAAGGCAAGGUGAAAUCUACAUAUGAUGAGCGAUAAGCCACUAUCGUUGUAUCUCCAACCACUGCAUCAAAUUUCUGAGAGACAAACAAGACAAGGUCACUCUUUUUAUGAACUUUUAAGCUUUUUACUGCAGCAAAUUAGAAUAGAAAAAUGGAUUUUAAGUAGCUUAACACGGACCUUAAGUUUGAUUUGCCGAAGAAGAUCAUCGUAAGUCCCGGCACUCUUCCUACUAUCGUUCAUAAAGGGUAUGAAAUCAUACGGAAGGGGAAAUGGUAAUAUAUCAUGCACUGCACGGAAAACCUCUGCAGAGAAGCCUGAAACAAUAGGCUCAUUGCUCUGCUGAUGCCAUUUGACUUCUAUAAAUUCGCUAAACCGCCUGUCACUGGAACCCCAAUCCUCAAUUUCUUCGGUUGUUGUGUUGUGCCUCCUGGCCAAAUUGGAUGCUUCAGUUUGGUUUUGGAAUUUGAGUGUGAUAUUUUACUACUGCUAUCCAAGCUCUGAGAAAGUCCUCCUUUUGGUGUCCAAUAUCCAAUAACCCUCUCUGAUCUCCCCACCACAUUGAAUAUUUCAAAGGCGAAAGGUGCCAUCUCACCCUUGACCAACUGGAACUUUCCACUCAAGCCAUCAAAUUUAGUGUUUAAUAUGGACUUCAGGAGUCUUGGCCCCAUUUCUGAGAUUCCCAAAGCCGCAAGAUCAACUGACCUGCUGCUUGCGUUUUGUUUUAAGAACCUAGAAUGCACAAUGCCAGCCCUCUCCACUGCCAUUGCUAUCGCCCAAACUGUAUCAUAUGCCCAUAAACCAAAGAGGUUUUCAGAGUUGAAAUUCCUUUUCCAUCUUGAUUUGAAACCUUCAAGCUCUUUAGAUUUUGGUACAUAUGGCUUUACACCUAAUACACCUUCCAUAGAAUCCAUUACUUUUGCGUCCACGGGAUCUAAUAAGGUGGACAAUCCUGUUGUCACGAGCCAUGCAUACCCUUCACUCAUCAUUCCUGCGCUUUUGGCGAGUAAGAAUAGUCUGGAUCCCAUGGAGGCUGUCAUGUGCACCAGAAACACGCUUUCCUGCAUUUUCUUUAUUUUGUGGAGCUCGCUCAUGAUUUCAGUGUCAUGGAAAGACGAUGGAAUGCAACUUUCAUAGGGAACUCGAGUACCAAUCGCGUGGAAGGCAUUUAGCAAAUAUGGAACCAAAGCAAUGCCAUAUUCUGUGCCUUCAUAGAUUAGAACAAUUUCCCUCCAACCAUAAGUUUUGACAAUGCUGGCAAUGGCUUCCACUUGAGAAGAAUCACUUUGAGCUGUCCGGAUAAAGUAAUUGCUUUGAACUGGAGUGAGAGCAGGACUAGUAGCUGAAAAGGAGAGAAUUGGCACACGUGUCUUGGCUCCAAGCUCUAUCACAAACUUGGCUUCCGAUGAUCUUUGAGGCCCUAUGAUUGCUUCAACUUCUUCAUUUUUCAUUAAAUCCAGUGCUGCAUUUUGUAAAGUUAGUUUUUUAAUUAAAAUAUGCUAUAUUUUAAAUUGUAAAAAUGAACUUUAUUUCUAGCGAUAGCAUGGCAUGAUGUUAAGUGUGGGCAUGAUUCGACAAAACAUUUUUCAUUUAACAAAAAAAAAAGAGUUAUGGCAAUUUUACUGUGAAUGAUAAUGUGGAUACAAACUAAUUUAAAUGUGGAUAUUAAUAGUGAUAACACUGUUUUUACCCUUAAUCUAUCAGAAGUUAGGUUGUGCUGGGAAGGCUACUGUGGUUUUUUAGUUCCAUUAUGGCUAAUCUGACUUUUCUGCCUGACACUAAAUUUCUCUGUGAAGAUUAUUAGUAAUAUAAAUAAUGAGAAAUUGUGGCUAUGUCAUGAGAGAUAGGUUAAAUAAAAAUAAGAUAGAUAUUUAGGAAUCUCAAAUGCACUUCUAGUUUUAGUUUAUGUUUUGAAAAUAAAAAACAUAUUUUAGAUAGAUACACAAAUGUAUAUAUAACUAGUGAUAUUGAUUUCAGAAAAUUCAUAUCGAGAUACUUAAUGACUUUUGUAAUGAAGCAGUUUCAUAGCAAUCAAUGUUGCAACAAUAUAAACUAGGCUUAAUAGUUGAAUUAUCCAAUACGAAAGUUGAAUACAUUGCUCUUACUAAAAAGGAUAAAUAGUUGUUAAGGAUAAAAUUUUUUUUAUAUGAAUUGUUAAGGAUAAAAAAGUUUUUAUAUGAAUUUGACCUAAUGUAAAAAAUCUUUGAGUUGCCCUGUGACAUACAAAAUUCAAUUCAUUUUAGUGAGUAUCAUAUUAUCCAUUCUCGAUCAAAAUACAUUGAAAUUAGAUAUCAAUAGAUUCAAAAUGGUAUGAAAAUAAAGUCUUUAAUUGUUGAAAUUAUUCAUAUCAGUAACAAUGUAUAAAAAAUAAUAAUCAAGUUUUUUCGUGAGAAAAGUUUGAAUUAUAUAGAAGAUAAACAGGCUUGGCAGAACCCACCAAAUUAAAACUUACAAGCCGAUCACCGGUAAGAAAAACUCCACACAUGGUGGUGCAAGAGGAGGAGAUUCGUUAGGGUCUCACACCACCACCACACAUUCGAAUUAAAACUAACAGAGACAUGGUGCAUGUGUCGUGUGCCUCUCAUUUAAAUAUAGAAGAGCAGCAAUGGGUUUUGUAAGAGAAAAAGAGAAGAGCACACCAGGAGAAAAACCAAAAAGAGACAGCUUGGGCAGCCUGUCUUCAAUCUCAUAUUUGAAGCCCAUUCACAAUUUUAUCAAGCUAAAAUCAAGUUCUAGAAAUAUAGCUAUUCAUUCUACACGGUUGAAUUGAAAAUUAAAUUGAAGUGUCUAAGUUAGUUUGGUGAGGAUUUCUAUCCACGUUUUCUCUUUAAUAUAUCUUUGUAUUCCAAGAAUAAGUUAAUCCCUUUGUUUUGAAAAAGAAUGAAUACUUUGUAAUUCUAUUAUAUGUUGACAGUGAAAGUUUUGAGAUAUAAUAAGAUAUUUUCGACAACGAGUAUUCAAAGUAAAAAAUGUGAUUGAUUGUUUAAUAUUAUUGAUUGAUUAAUCCUAUUUUACUUACAAAAUAAGAGGAAAGAACUAGGAUUUUUGGAUGGUGAAUUUUCUCAACAAACUCAUUGUAGGCAAUGAAUUUAGUUAAUUUUGUAUUACUACUCAUUUUCAGAUAAAAUACUUGCAAGCCAAACUAUCUCAAACCUUCACAAAUUUUUAAAAUAAAAAUAAGUAAACUAUCAAAUAAAAUGUAGAAUCACACAAAAAAUAUCCGAUAAACUAGACAUAAAAACCUGUUUGAUAUUGCGAUAAAAAAAACAAUUAAAAAUGUAAAAAGAAUUAAUUCCAGAGUUUUUUUAUAUAAAUUCAAUUGCAAUAUCAAUCCCAUCAUCAAAUAUAUAUAUUAAAUAUGAGAUUAUUGAAAAUAUAUAAAUAAAAAUAAAAAGGGAAAAAAAAUCAUUGAAAAAUACCAUCAAUUCUAGUGCUUUAAUUAAGCACAAGAUCUGGUUUGAAAACACCAUGAGAGAGAGAGAGAGUAUAAAAUUAAUAAAGCAUCUGAAUAUUUGCUGUUAUGAUCUUUACAUGUUCAGUGCAUUUUAGGCAGAACACAAAAGUGGCCAGUGGUACCUGCAGACGCUGCUGUCACGACAUCCCCUUCGGAAUCCCUGGCGACGAGAGAGAUUCUAGUUCGAUAAUGAGCAUUCCGAGCAUAAAAAUCAGUUUCUGCAGCAGAUAUGCAGCUCUCUGCUGUUUUUCCGACAGCUGAGUUCAUAUCAAGAACCACUCCAACUCGUAUGAUCACCUUCCCCAUUGUCACCUGCUCACUCCACAGAAUGACCGAGAGAAAGCAAAGAAAACAGUAGAAGCUCUUCUGCUUUGCCAUUCUCAUGAAGAUUGUUGUUGAUGGCAACUCUGCUUACGCUUAGUAUUUGUGGAGCCAUUAGCAAAUUUUAGCCAGCUCAUAUUUGGACGUACUUGUCACGACCAUGUUGUGUCAUUGUCAAAAUUAAAUGUUUCUCACGUUAGAAGUGACUCCUUGUUUUUUUAAUUAAAAAUAUAGUAAAACAGUAUUUUUAGCUCUUUUAAUAUCUAAUAUCAGCACAUUAAAUAUACAAAAUAUUAAUUUAAAAAUCAUUUUAAAAAAACACCUACGAGCAGGGGCGGAAGUAGGGGGGCAACUAGGAGCCCGGGCCCCUACAAGACAUUUGUUUAAUAAUUUGAUGAUGUUUAUAUAUAUAUAUAUAUAAUCCUAUCAUUUUUGCUUCUUCUUUUUUUCUCAGAUCUGUUAGUUCUAUCAAUUAGUUUUUUGAAUUUUUGUUAUAGUGAUUUUUUUUCUAAUUAAUUAGAUAUAUUUUAUUGGUUUGUUUUUAUUAUGCUUAGAUUUUUUUUAUAUAUUUUGUUUUUAGCAGAGCCACCGGAAUUAUCAAUUUUUUUUUCUUACGAUAUAUGUUUUAUUUUAGGUUGAAUCAUAAACAAAAUAAAAGGAAUUGAUUUAAAAAAAAAUCAAUAUUGAUAACUCAUAGCCUACUGAACGAGCUUUUUCAGUGAUGAAUGUUGUUAUAACAAGACUUCGCAAUUGGGUGGAGGAUGAUUUUCUUGUGAAUUAUUUGAUUGUCUAUAUAUAAAAAGAAAUUGCUGAAAGAUUCACAAUUAAUAUGAUAAUUAAUGAUUUUUAUUCUAUAAAAGAACUAUGAGUACAAUUAAAAUAAAUAUGUAAAAAUCAUUCUUUAUUAUUUUUUGUUUUAUUUCAAAGUUUAUCAAACAUAAAUAAUGAUUCGUUUUAGCUAGUGUUUCUUAUAUACUUUGUAUGUUUAUAUUUGACAGGUAUAAAGACCAACAAUAUUAAAGUGAUAGAUACAUUAUGAAGAUAAAAUUAAUUUCAUUGCUUUGACUCAAUUUGAUAUUGUUCCAAAUAUUUUACCUUAUACAAAGGUCAUUAUAUGUUUAUAGUAAGUUAUUUGAAUAAAACUAAAUUAUACAUGUUUUGUUUUACAACUCAUGUACAAUAAAUUAAAACAAAUAUUAUAUUUUGUUAUAUUAAUUUUGAUCCCCGUUAAUAAAUAAUUCUAGCUCCACCCGUGUAAAUUGUGACACAACAAUAUCAUUUUUCACUUAAUCAUUUUUAUUAAACAAUAAGAAAUAUCUUCUAACUAAAUUAUGUUUAUUUUGAGAUUUAUUUGUACAAUAUAUACUUUUUUUUUCCCUUUUCUUUUUUCUCUACUGUAUGUAUUUUGAAAAAGUCACACUUUCCGACUUUGAUAUUUGAAAAAGCUUGACUUUUAUUAAAUUUCAUUAUUUAAGAAAAUAUAUUUUCAAAAAGAUUUAUCUGGCAGCAAGAUCGAUAAAUAACAAUUGUGAAUUUGCGUUCCGUGUUUGACAUUCCGGUUUAAAAAUAUUUUUAAAAAAAAUUAAAUUUUUUUUUUGAAUUAAUAUAUUUUUGAUGUUUUUAAAUUAUUUUGAUGUACUAAUUUCAAAAAUAAUUUUUUAAAAAUAAAAAAAAUAUUAUUAACAUAUUUUUCUAAAUAAAAAAUACUUUAAAAAGUAACAUCAAUCACACUUUUAAACACCCUAGUUCAUACGAUUCAACCAUUUUUGUCCAUACGAUGCAUAGAAUCAAACAUGCAGAGAGGAAAAGGUUGCUUUCUUCCAUACGGCAGCGGCAGGUCAGAUGCAUCUUUCAGCUGUCGAAGUCCAAAGGGCACCGCGUGUAACUGUGUUAAAAACAAAGACAGAUAGAUUUUAUUUGCUUUUGUAUUUUAAAAAUAUAUUUUAAAAAAAUUAAUAUUUUUUUAUUUUAAAUAAAUAAUUUUUAAUAUUUUUAAAUAAUUUUGAUAUGCUAAUAUUAAAAAUAUUUUUAAAAAAAUAAAAAAAUAUAUUAUUUUAAUGUAUUUUUGAAUAAAAAAUAUUUUAAAAAACAAUUAUUAUUAUAUUUUCAAAUAGAUUAUUAAUAUUUAUUUUUGGGAUGUAAAAUAUUUUAUGUAUUUUUUAAAAAAAAUAUAUAACGUUGAUAGGAUUAUAAAAUACAAAUUAAGUUUAUGGCAUAUCUAUAACCACGACAUGAGAUACAAGAAUUAGCUGUAAUAUAUAUAUUUUUUUUGUAUGGACAAAAAUUAAGUUUAUGGUAGACCAUAAUUCAGACUUAGCCAACCAUCGCGGACAAUUCUGAAGUUGACUUGGCCACAAACACAUCUUAAAUUUUAGUUAAAAGGCACGUAACUUGAGAUUUUUGUUUCAUGGCCAAAUUAUCUCAACCAUACUAAUUUUGUAUAUUUUUUUUUUUAAAAAAAGAAAAACCAGAAAUAUACAAAAGAAAAGAAAAUUUAUCCUAUUUCACAAGCUUCAACUAUUUUCAUAUAAUUUAUUCCAUUUCUUGAAAUUUAACUAUAUUUAUAUGUUUUCUUGAUUUUUAAUAUUUUUAUGAUCAUCAGUGAAAAGAACAUUAAAAAGAAUAGAGAGAAGAAAUACAAUCUAAACAAAAGGAAAUGAGAAAAAAAAAUUGAGAAAACAAAAGGAGUUUAAAACAAAAAAUAAUGAGAAAAGGAUAAUAUAAAUAUAUUAAUUUAUUAAAUUUAAUUAAUAAUAUAUUUUAUAUAUUAUUUUAUUACAUACCAUUCAAUUUUUACAUUGCUUUUAUUCAUCUUUUUAUAAUGUAAGCAAUUUUUUUACACACCAUUAUUUUUUUAAAUCUUAUCUAAUUGCUUUUUCUAAUAGUGUAUAUUUUUAUUUUUAUAUAGUUAAAUAAAAUUAUUCAUUAAAAAAUACAAGAAUCUCUCUCACACUUUAAAUUGAAAAGUUCAGGAGUGUUAUUCAUCAAAGGUUUUGGAAUUUAGGCUUCAUAUGUGUUUAAAUAGUUUUUAAAAAUUAACCUUAAUGGACAUACCUUUAUAGGCUGAAUUAAUCUAUUUACAAAAAUUGGCUCAAUACCCUUACUAGUAAGCUCAAACUCUAAUCCUAUUAAGUCUUGGAUCCUAGCUAAAAAAAAAAAUUAUUAAUUAAGCCUAAAGAAGCAUUGGGUUAUAGCUAAUAAAAAUAAAGCUUAUAAGUUUAAAUCUUGUUCAAUCGUGAGAAGAGAAGAAGAAACAAAAACUUUAUAGGUUUAAUACAAGACUUAUUUAUAGCAUAUAAUGCUACUUAAUAAUCCUAGAAACUAAAUAAGAAGUUGUCGCCCUUUUAGUUUCUAAGUUAGAAUAGAAUUCUGAUCUCAAUCUUGGAUUUAUCCUUCUUUUGGAAGGAAAAUGAUGUUGCCUUUACUAUCCUCUUUACCACCACUUGUGUUUCCUAAAUCAGCUUGGAUUCCUUUGUUUUCUUUGCUGUGUUUUCUCCUCACUUGACAAGGAAAAUAUAAUAAAUCUUAAUGUUUAAAGAAAAUAAUUAAUGUUCCCACACAUAAUAGGAAAUAAAAAACUAGCUAGAAAUUCACAAAAUACAUGAAAACAUCACAGAACAAAGCUGGUCAAAACUAAUACAAAAUUGACAACCUUGUUGUCGAAACUUCAUGGUGUAAAUAAGGGUGGAUUGGAUCACUCUUGCACACAUAUUAAUGUUGAAAGAUGAAAUUAAAAAAAGAAAAAAGAAAAACACUAUUCCAAAAAAUAGUGUUUUGUAAGGAGGGGAAUAGUUAAACCCUUUCCGUUUUUAGUUUUUUGUUUACUAGAUUUGUGACCCACACUUAGUCGCAACCUAUAAAUUUUUUUUUCAACAUAAAAAAAGAAUGCCAACCAAAAACAAUCAAAGACUUGAUUUAUUGGUUUAGUUGCUAAUUUAAAUAAUAUGAUUAAAAAAAUGCAAAAACAAUAAAUAAAAAUACACAAAAAUGACAACAAAAACAAAUGUAAAAAGAACCUGAUAUGAGCUAAUUCGGAUUAUAAAACAACUCAAUGAUUAAGGGAAAGUUAAAAAAAAUAAACAAAAAACCCGAUUAAAUUGGGUUAACUCACAAACUUUGCAACCAUAAACAUAAGGUUGACAUAGUCUCAUAUAAAGAAACAAAUGUAAAAAAGUUCAAUGACCAAUUCUUAAUAAAUCAAAUGAGAACAUGAUAACUACAUAAAAAAAUAAAGCUCUAUCUCCAACAAAUAAAAUGUUGAAGGAUAAAAGUUAAUAAAAAAUAAUAUGAAUUAAAAAGGGUAAAAAAAACUUGAUCCAAGCCCACUUGAUCAACACGCAAAACUUUUUAUCAAGUCGUGAUACCAGGGUGACCUCUAAAUAAAAUUGAAUGAUAUCAUGAAACUCAAUUAUCAAACAAUUUAAUGUUGAAGGAUGAAAAAAUAAGUAAUGGAAAAAAUAUGAGUCAACCUGGGUUAAUCCGCAAACCAUGCAACCAUGAAAACCAUGAAAUCCUUGAAUUGUGUUCAAUCAAAAAAUUUAAUUCCUAACUAAUUUAAUUUUUAAGGAUAAAAUCAUGAAAAAAAUUCAAUUUAAAAAACUUCUCAAAGGAAAAAGGAUAGCAAUAAAAAAAAGAAUCUAAUAUGAUCCAAGUAAGGUCAUAUUUGAUUUUUUAUGUAAAAUUUUCUAUUGUUCAGUUUUACAUUAACAAGUAUAACUUUCAAAUCCAUUGUUUGAUUGAAAUGAGGUUUUUAGGGUGAGUCCAUUUUCUCUUCUUUAGUUUUCGAUUGAAUAGUAUCCUCUUUGACAUUGCAAUUGUGUAUCAAUGCAAUCAUUUCAUUGGCUUCCAUUAAAAAAUUGAAUGAAAAUUAUUUUAAUCUCUAAAUUUUAAGAUUUAAUCAAGUAGAACCUUAUAAAAGUAAUAUAUUUUAUUUCCUAUUAAUAAUUGCAAAUGAUGUCAUGGUUAGUUCAACUAAAAAUAUAUUCUCUUUGGACGCCUUAUAAAUUAUUUAACUAAUUCUUAUUACGUGGGAAAAAAGAGAGGAAAACUAAUGUGAAUUUUUGAAAUUGGUGACUCUGGUUAUGAAUCCGAUAUUAAUUCCAUAGAAGGCAAACCAUAAAAAAUAACAAAUUAAAACUCUAAAAAACAAGCUAAAAAAGACAUUAGCUUUUAAAAAAUAAACAAGUCAACCUAGACAAAUCUUUUAAACACAGUCUAAUCUUUAAGACUCACAACUCCUAAAAUUCUUGAACCAAGUUCAAUCAAGAAACUUAAUUUUCAACAAAUUUAAUUUUGAAGGAUGAAAUCGUGAAAAAAAUAUCAAUUUAAAAAACUUGGCAAUUAAAAACAAUAUCAUAAAAAAAAUAAGGAUCAAAUUUGAAAAAAAAAACCAUGGAGGAUGAAAUUAUAAAAAUAAAAAUCUAAAAAAUGAUCAUAAAAAAAAUAAAUAGCAAUAAAAAGAACAAUGACUAAAUUUGAGUGUAAAAAAAUAAAAAGGAGGAGAAAUUGAAAAAAAAAUAUAAUUUUAUAACUUAUUAAAAAUAUAUAAAAAAAAUGAGGAUCAAAUUUGAAACAAAUAAACCAUGGAGGAUGAAAUUAUAAAAACAAAAAUCUAAAAAAUAAUCACAAAAAACAUAAGUAGCAAUAAAAAGAACAAUGACUAAAUUUGAGUGGAAAAAAAUAAAACAGGAGAGAAAUUAAAAAAAAAUAUAAUUUUAUAACUUAUAAUGAGAUAAUAAUAAAAAAUGAGGACCAUAACUAAAAGAUUAAAAGUCAAAAGGGGUGAAAUAAAAAAAACAUUUAUAAUUUCAUGAGUUAUUAAAAAUAUAUGUAAUCAAAAGGACACAAAAUAUGAAAGGGAAACAAAUUGCAUGGGCUAAUCUGAUUUUUUAAAGGGGCUAGCACAAAAUUCAGGGUAGGGAGAGAGAGAGAGAAAAAAUAAACUAUUGUCGGUGUCAAUCUUGAUGUAUAUUAGGGGCACACGUUACCUCAUUUCGUUGAGGUCGCCAAUUUUUUUUAAUUAUAUUUAAUUAAUAUAAAUUAAACCAAAUUUUUUUAAUACCCUUGAAAUUUACAAUAAAAUCAAUGUAAAAUUAUAAGAAGCUCUUCGGUGAGAGUUAUGUUGUUUUUAUCUUUAAAGACAUCAAAGUAAUUACACUAUUUUAAAAAAUUAAAAAGACAAAAAUGUCCCUUAGUAGUAAGCAUUAUAUUAUUUUAUUUUAGGGUUAAAUUAGUAAUUGUAUAGUAAAAAAGAUGAAAUGACCAAACUAAUCCUAUAUAAUUUGUUAAAGACAAUUGUAUCACGAUGAAAAAGCCAACUUGCCUUUACACCUACUUCAAAGGCUUUUUGUUUUGUUUUCUAAAAAAAAUUUUAUAAUUAAACUUUUAUAAUAAAGUAUUCUAAAUCUUGGAGAUUUAUUUAUUUUUUAAUUUAAUUUAAUAAGUUUGGUUGUGUUCAAGGAAAAAAAAAAUUUAGCAUGUGACUGAUCUCUUUCCUAGAGAAGACCAGUCAAACAUUCAGACCAGAUCAUGCAUUCAGACAACAAGUAUGAUCGAUUAAUUAUUUUUCUUCGUUGACCGAGUAGAUUGUCUUUUUUAUAUGUAAAUAUCGAUUGUUCCAAUAAUCUGGGAAAACUUGGAUAGGAAUUUCCCACUUCCUUAAUGUGACCUCGUAGUAUUUAUUUUUAAAACAUAUAACAUAUACACGCAUAAACUUUCCAUUUAACUUAAUCACUCCAAAGUUUCAUUCCCUUAAUGCAACAAUUUUUUUUUAAAUAAUAAAUUCGAUAGAUCUUCGAAUGCAAUCUGAAUCCUUUAUUAAUUUUUUUAUUAUAUUAUUUUUAACUUUAUUUUAGGAUUCAAAUUUGGAUUGAUAUUUGAAAAAUCUGAUUAUAAAACUCCAUUUAAUUUCUCAAUCAAAUUUAAAUAUACUAUGAUGAUGUGAAACAUUUUUUGGCUCCAAAAUUUGGUAAGGGAAUGGUUGUUGUUUUUAUUUAAAUAUAUAUUAGAAAAUCAUUGCAAUUUAUUCCACUAGAUGAGUGUAGAUUUUAUUUUAAAUGAUUUUUAUUAAUCUAAUAAGGAUUAUUCCUACAAUCAUUGUGUUUGGAGUUUUUAAUUUUUUAAAACCUAUGUGGUAUAUUCCACUUGAUGUGUGUGGAUUUAUUUCCAGAAUAUUUUUAAUUCAAUGCAUAUUAUUCCUCCAUUUGGUUUAUUUCACUAGCUGAAUUUGAAGUUUCAAAUGUUUUUAAACUAAUUCAAUUUAUUUCACUCCAUGUGUGUGAAUUUCUUUUCAAAUAAUUUUUAAUUUGAUGAUGAUUAUUUCUCCAUUCAGUCUUAAAUUAUUUUUAAAGUAACGCGGUUUAUCCCAUUUCAUGCAUGUGGAUCUUUUAAAUCAAUGUGUAUUAUUCCUUAAUUUUUUCGUUGCAUUUAGAAAUGUCAAAUAUUUUUAAAUCAAUGUAGUUUAUUCUGCUUAAUACGUGUGGAUUUCUUCUCGAAUGAUUUUAAUUUGAUACAGAUUAUUUUUCUAAUGUUGUGUUUGGAUAUUUUAAUAUUCUUAAGCUGAUGCGAUUUAUUCCACUGCAUGCAUUUGGAUUUCUUUUCAAAUGAUUUUUGAUCCAUUGCAAUUUAUUUUCACUUGUUUUGUAUGAGCUUUUGAUUUUGUUUUUUCUGAAACUAAUCUUCACUCAUUCCAUGUGGAGCUUCCAAGAUAAUCUUUGUAACGAACAAGAAGGGAUUUAGAAUUCACCUUAAAACAAAGGAGGAUUGAUUUUGGAAAUGAAUUCGAAAAAAGUAAGAAAACUUAUCAUGCAUGCAUGCUAUUAUUUCACCUAAAUUAACAUGUUUAUUGAAGGUAAAAAUUCGUAGGAAAUUAAUUUGAAUUUAGGCUUGACAACAAAGGUUAAUCCUCUCACCAUUAUGGGGAUAAGAUUCAAAAUAAUAAUUAAUGGUGACUCAAGUUUUGAAUUAUUUCUUUUAAUUACCCAAUAUAUAUUAAUCUAUUUUACCAAGAAUAUCCAUUAUAAAUAACCAUAAACGUUUCACCCAACUCAAUUGAUAUAAACAAGCAUAGUUGAACAUAGCAAGAAAAAAAAUCAUGAAUAUACUAUAAAUUUAUUCAAAAUAACAUACACAUAUACAUAUGUAUGUGAUUAAAAAUUAAAAAAUAAUAUAUCAUAAAUUUAUUUGAACAACAAAUAAAUCAUAUAUGGGAUUAAAGUUGACCUUUAUGAGUCAUUGAAGUUAGCCGGAAUGAGAAGAAAAUUGUUGAAGAAAAUAGCAAUAGUCCUGAACAGGUUUAAUUUCGGAGCAUCAUUCCACAUGCCACUAGGCCAUACCACUAGGCCAUAGAGGCUUGUGGACUAUUAUGCAAUGCAACUUAACUCCCUCUUCUUCGUUCUAGCAUCGAUGGUGUAGACCACCUCAUCCUGAGGUGGGAGAUUGGUGAUUAUGAAGGAGACAUUUGUUGUUAAAUGUGUUUUUAAAUUGCUACUAUUUUUUUUUCUUCUUUUUACUAUGUCUUUUAUUUGAAUAGACUUUUUGAAAAGGUCUCUUGUUUUUAAAAUACGUGGUGUCCUCCUCUUUCCCUAAUUACUCUUAUUUAUAUUGUCUAGGAUUUUUAUAAAACAGGAAAAACUAAACUGGAAAAAUAAUAUUAGACAAUUAUAUUAUUUUUUUCUUGAUUAUUUUUUUCUAAUUAUUUAAAUUUUCUCUUCUUUGCCGCACCUAACAUCGUGACGAACCCAAAACAAAAGUGUGAUGUAUAAUUUAGAAAUUAAAAAAAUAAAAAAACGUCGCCUAAUAUUAUGAUUACUAGUAACCAUAUUUUUCAAUAAUCUAAGAUAAGGGAUUAGUAAAGCUAAAGAAAAUAUACUAUUAUCUCAAAACAUCUUACUUAAAAUAAGUUGCAUUGCUAAUUAUCUUUUAUUUCUAAUUGUUUGUUGUGCCUAUUUUACCGAGAGUCUAUGUACAUAGGUCUACUGCAAUGAGUUAAAUCCAAUGUAGGUUUUAUGCUUAAUCAUUCUAAGGUCCUAAUUAUUUUUGUCACUCCUAGUUUGUUUGGUAAAUUGACAUAUAAAUAACUAUUUACUCUUAAUCACCACAUGUGAUUCUAUUAACUUAUAUCAAUGAAUAAUUAAUUAAGUAAGUCUAUGUUGGCCUUAUUAAACAUAGCCUAGAUCCUAAAAAUAUUUUUCCUUAUUGACAUGUAUAAAUUAAAAAAAAGAUGUAAGGAUGUAUUUUUUUUUUUUUUUAGAUAGGCUUGGCCUAAAAUGCAAGAUUUGAUACAUUUUUUUUUAUUACAUGAGCAUGAAAUAAGAGCGAACAAUUAUUAACUAAGAUGCCAAAUUUUAAACCCUAAAUCCUACUGUCAUGCUAGGUAUAACCGAAGAAAAAUGUGAAAUUAAGAAAAGAAGACAUGAUGUUGCAGUUUAAAGGAAAGCAAAACCAACAGGCAUUUUCAUUUUCUUUUUUCACACUGCAAAAACAUAGAACACAGCCUACACAUCUCGACAUGCUUAUAAUGUUGUAGUUUUAAAGCAAAAACCAACGGGCACUUUCAUUUUCUCCUAAUACAACACAAGCACGCUACAUGUCCUCCACACCUCAACACAAGACAUGAUAUAAAAAAAAUCCUCUUAGAGCACAGACUGUGUUUUUUUUUUUUUUUUGUAAUGUAAUGUAGGCUUUCCUAGACAAGAAAAGGAGGAGCAAUAUAUGGCUGGAACACAAGAGGGAGGCAUGUGUGUUUGUCUCAUUAAAAUACCCUAUUUAAGCUUGCCAAAAACAACACUUAAAAGUCACUUAAGCUUCCAUCUGAGGUAGGAUUGCCGCGGUUUUGAUCCCCAACAACAACUUCGGCUCCUUCAUCGGAAGUCAUUUCAUGCACAUAGGCAGUACCAGGUGAAGCUCGGUUUCUUUCCGGAGUGUUAGGGCCAACAGUAUCUGCAUUGGAGGCAAUAAAAUUUGUACCACUAUUCCCCGAGGUAAGAUUGUCAUGGUUUUGAUUUUCUCCAACGUCUUCGGCUCCUUCAUUGGAAGUCAUUUC
rnacentral:lncRNA from 1 species